rnacentral:rRNA from 1 species
GGAGUUUGGACCGUGUCUCAGUUCCAAUGUGGGGGACCUUCCUCUCAGAACCCCUACUGAUCGUCGGCAUGGUGGGCCGUUACCCCGCCAUCUACCUAAUCAGACGCAUCCUCAUCCGUCGCCGAUAAAUCUUUACUGUGUCCGAGAUGUCUCAAUCACAGACCAUCAGGUAUUAAUCUUUCUUUCGAAAGGCUAUCCCCGAGCCAUGGGUAGAUUGGAUACGUGUUACGCACCCGCGCGCCGGUCGCCAUCAUCGGUUGCAAGCAACCGACAUGCUGCCCCUCGACUUGCAUGUGUUAAGCCUGUAGCUAGCGUUCAUC